rnacentral:rRNA from 1 species
CCCCAGCGCCACAAGUGGCAUCCAGCUUUAUUUGGUCUAAAGCGUCCGUAGCUGGCGCGUUAAAUUCUCUGUGAAAUCGUGGCGCUUAACGUCACGGCGUGCAGAGAAGACUGGCGUGCUUGGGACCAGGAGAGGUAAGCGGUAUUCUUUGGGGAGCGGUAAAAUGCUAUAAUCCAAGGAGGACCACCGAUGGCGAAGGCAGCUUACCAGAAUGGAUCCGACAGUGAGGGACGAAAGCUAGGGGAGCGAUCCGG